rnacentral:snRNA from 1 species
GUGCUCGCUUUAGCAGCAUAUAUACUAAAAUUGAAUGAUACAGAGAAGAUUAGCAUGGCCCCUGCGCAAGGAUGACACUUAAAUUCGUGAAGCAUUCCAUAUAAAU